ACCACCGCUCGAUCUCGUACCACGACUUGCACACCAGGGAUACCGAGUUCCUGUCCUUGUCCACGUGGAUGAAGGAGAACACGUGCUCGAGGACUUCCUCGGGGAACGAUAAGGCCACUCGCUUAUACAUUUGCGUUGAUAAGAAAGGAAAAAAAACUCGAGAGAUCUGAGGAAAUCGGAAGAUUCCUCGGGGAACGAUAAGGCCACUCGCUUAUACAUUUGCGUUGAUAAGAAAAGAAAAACUCGAGAGAUCUGAGGAAAUUGGAAGAGUUUGAAGAAGGAGUUUAAAUAUCGGAGGGGCAGAUCUGAGGCGCCAUUAACGGAGAUUACUAGAUUGUGAGGAAGAAGGAGCAGAGAGAAGAGAGAAGGAUAGGGGAAGAAGGUCAAGCCAACUCUGGUUCGGUUAAAUGUUAACCGUGGUUAAACAUCUCCAUGUGAGGGCUUUUCGGUGAUUGUGAUCUGUCUACUACGAUCUCGCCA
rnacentral:lncRNA from 1 species